AAACAUGUCUUUUUGAGUUAUAUUUAAAGUCUGACCUGCCCACUGAAUAAUUUUAAAUGGCCGCAGUAUUUUGACUGUGCAAAGGUAGCAUAAUCAUUAGUCUUUUAAUUGAAGGCUGGUAUGAACGGUUGGACGAAGUAUAAGCUGUUUCAUAUAAAUUUAUUAUAGAAUUUUAUAUUUUAGUUAAAAAGCUAAAAUUUUAUUAAAAGACGAGAAGACCCUAUAAAUCUUUAUAUUUAAUGUUAUUUAAAUUUUUUAGAUUUAUUUUAUUUUUAUAGCAUUAAAUAUUUUGUUGGGGUGAUAUUAAAAUUUAAUAAACUUUUAAUUAUUUAAAUUCAUUAAUUUAUGAAUUAUUGAUCCAUUAAUAUUGAUUAUAAGAUUAAGUUACUUUAGGGAUAACAGCGUAAUUUUUUUUGAGAGUUCAUAUCGACAAAAAAGUUUGCGACCUCGAUGUUGGAUUAAGGUAUAAUUUUGGGUGUAGCUGUUCAAAUAUUAAGUCUGUUCGACUUUUAAAUCCUUACAUGAUC
rnacentral:rRNA from 1 species